UACGGAGGGAGCUAGCGUUGUUCGGAUUUACUGGGCGUAAAGCGCACGUAGGCGGAUCGUUAAGUGAGGGGUGAAAUCCCAGGGCUCAACCCUGGAACUGCCUUUCAUACUGGCGAUCUAGAGUCCGGAAGAGGUGAGUGGAACUCCUAGUGUAGAGGUGGAAUUCGUAGAUAUUAGGAAGAACACCAGUGGCGAAGGCGGCUCACUGGUCCGGUACUGACGCUGAGGUGCGAAAGCGUGGGGAGCAAACAGG
rnacentral:rRNA from 1 species